rnacentral:rRNA from 1 species
CCUACGGGAGGCAGCAGUGGGGAAUCUUGCACAAUGGAGGAAACUCUGAUGCAGCGAUGCCGCGUGAGUGAAGAAGGCCCUUGGGUUGUAAAGCUCUUUCGUCGGGGAAGAAAAUGACUGUACCCGAAUAAGAAGGUCCGGCUAACUUCGUGCCAGCAGCCGCGGUAAUACGAAGGGACCUAGCGUAGUUCGGAAUUACUGGGCUUAAAGAGUUCGUAGGUGGUUGAAAUAGUUGGUGGUGAAAUCCCAGAGCUUAACUCUGGAACUGCCAUCAAAACUUUUCAGCCAGAGUAUGAUAGAGGAAAGCAGAAUUUCUAGUGUAGAGGUGAAAUUCGUAGAUAUUAGAAAGAAUACCAAUUGCGAAGGCAGCUUUCUGGAUCAUUACUGACACUGAGGAACGAAAGCAUGGGUAGCGAAGAGGAUUAGAUACCCUCGUAGUCCAUGCCGUAAACGAUGUGUGUUAGACGUUGGAAAUUUAUUUUCAGUGUCGCAGCAAAAGCGAUAAACACACCGCCUGGGGAGUACGACCGCAAGGUUAAAACUCAAAGGAAUUGACGG